GCCCUCGCCCUCCUCACCCUCUCACCCAACCCACAGGCCACAGCCCCACACUCCUCCCUCGCCUGGUCGUCCCCCAUCUCUUUCCCGCACGACUCUCCUCGUCGCCGCCACCAACGGCGCUCGAUCCAGGCGACCUACCGGUGGGAAUCGACGGUGCCAAGAAAACCGAAGGGAUCCCCUCGCUCCGCUACUCCCUCCUAUCAGGGGAGAUCCAGCAUGCGCGUCCUCCAACGCUACCCGCGACUUUCUCUUGUUGCUAGGGUUUCGGCCGGCGUGGCUCCGGCGACUCAGGACGCCAUCCUUGCUGAAGCAUCAGGACGCCAUGGACGGGAAGGCAUCUCCCCCCCUGCCCCGAAGUCAUGGAGACGCCGCCGGCUUCGAGGGUGGAGCCCGGAGCAUCCACUGGAGCGCAAAACAGACGUGCAGGAGGUGGAGAUCCGCAUGGAUCACGACGCGGUCGUCGUAGUGGCCUGGAUCAUUGAGCUCGAGGAUGGACGGCCUCAGUGGCAGAGGCGCACAUGAGUUCCUGCGAUGGACCGAUCCACAGGGGCGCUGGAUCUGGCCUCGCGGUCGCCUGAUCUAGCCACUCUGUCGCCAGAUCUCCUCCCUUCUCAGUUUCUCUCUGGCACUUCCUUUCUUUCUAUCUACAAGAAGCCUCAUAGGAGCUUGCACGGAACUGAUGGGAAGUGGUGCCCAGAUCGUAUUCAAUUUGUGGAUACAAUUCACCAAAUAUGGACGUACUUCUGUAUACCAAUAUUUUAUCUCCUUUUUGCAGAUCCUUAGUUAUGUCAUCAAAUUUCCAAUACAUGCAUCUCCCAGAAAGGAAUUUCCUGACCCGUGCAGAUUAUUGUUUUAUGAGUUUUACUACAAUGUAACUUAUGUAUUUGGCUAUGUUCAGUUAUUAGGAAACUUCUAGGAUCUGCACAUUAAUUAACAGAAACAUGUACAGAUAAUGAAGAUAAACUUUUAGAUCAGUGCUACUUAUUCUAAGUCUAAAGGAUUUCCAGUUAACUUAGUAUUUUUAACAAAUGUGGUUCAUCAGCAAGCUAUAUUAAAUAACAAUCCAGAUUUAUAUACAUAACUAUUAUACAGUGCCAAGACUUCCAUUGUGUGUAUGAAUGUGCACAUAUCCAGAUUUUUCUGAAUAUCAGUAUACAUAUAUUUUUUAUAGAUGUUUAAAACAUGGAAUUGCUGCCACAUGUGUUUGAUACAAUAUAUGUAGUAUAUGUCAUACCUGAUGCAGUAUAAUACAAAUAAAUAUAUAGGUAAUAUAUGCACUUUAUAGAAAAUAAAUAUAUGUUAUAUACUACUACCGAAUGAUUUUAUCCAAAUGUUGUUGGUUCAUGCAUACCUAAAUGUCAUGUUUUCUUACGCCACCCAUCUUAUUUGAGUUAUUACAUUUACAUUAUUGGAUUUUGGAGAAAAUUUGUUGCAUCAAAAUGCUUAGCUUACUCCCAGUCUCUCCUCACAACGAGGUUGAAGUAUUAGGUAAUACUAUUGUUUAGCACAUAACUUAUUACUUUCAUGUAAAUCCAAACUAUUAUAGUUACUGAAAUUAAUUUGACAUUUAUUUAAGCCAUUUAACAAAGCGGAGCUCCAUUUGCUAGGGUUCGUCGGUCAUGAGAUGAGGUAAACUAACUUGUAAGGCGUUCACAAAAGCUUGUACAGAAUUAUGUGUAGUGGUUGGGUUCGAAUAUAUAGGUUGAGAUUUUUUUUUCUUGCAGAAUGAUGAUAUCGUCGGUCAUGGGUUUUUUUUUUCUAUCUCUCCCUUCUUCACAUAGCUGCAGCCUGCAGCACGUCCACAACACAUGUUUUGUCCCAUGCACGUAUCAUACGUUGUUAGCCUUUGGACUAGAUGUUCAUGUUCUAGUACCCCCUCCGUUCCUAAAUAUUGUCUUUUUAGAUGUUCACGUUCUAGUACUCCCUCUGUUUAUAUUUCUUGAUGUCAUUUCUAGUAUGCAAUCAUAUGACAUGUUUCAUGUAAAUUAAUAUGGGAUGCUAUCAAUUUUUUAAUCUGCAAUUGAUCUAGUGUUUUUUACAUGGUAGCUUAAUAUCUUCAUUCCUUUUCUAAUAUGCAAACUUCUAAUAUGUGAGGUGCAGAAGUGCAUGAGCUUCGGUUCGCCUUAGGCUCCUCCCGCUCGUCGGCGGUCUGGUCCAGCGUCACUUAACCGCUGUGACCUGGUCGGUUUGGUUCAGCUUUGAGCUGCCCACUGCAGAGUGGGAGGACGGCAUGCUCAUGAACAUCGAGGCUGGAUCAAGUAUUGUGGUGCACCGCGGCAUGCGGCGAUCUAUUUUUUUGUAGUGGUACUGUAUAUGGUCUCAUCCAACACUGAGUAUCCAUUUGUUGUUUUAAUACUGAUGAUGAUAUUGUAGCAUAAAGUAGACACCAUAUCUGGUUUGUCUUGAUGUUUUAACUAUGGUGGUUCUUGUCUGAUGCACAUUGUUCUUUGCAGGGUUAUGAUGAUAUUUCCAAAGAUAUAUAUUGACCCUGAUGUGGCAAAGCACAUUCCUUAGAAAUGUCGGCCUUGAGUCAACUCUAAGAAGAAAUUCAACAGAUCUGCAACUGCUUUGGAUGCUCAUGUACAAGAUACUAAAUUAUUGUUUCUGUUAUUUUGGUUGGUACUAUCUUAUAAACAUGUGGUGUAAUGAUAUUGGUGGGACAAAGUUCAUGAAAAACUGUGUUGUUUGUUCAUUCUGCUAUAUUAUUUUGAGAUCAUGUGGUGUAAUGAUAUGGUUGUGUUAUUUUAAGAAUUAUAUUAUUAUCAUUA